rnacentral:rRNA from 1 species
UCUUUUUCACCGGAGCUUGCUCCACCGGAAAAAGAGGAGUGGCGAACGGGUGAGUAACACGUGGGUAACCUGCCCAUCAGAAGGGGAUAACACUUGGAAACAGGUGCUAAUACCGUAUAACAAUCAAAACCGCAUGGUUUUGAUUUGAAAGGCGCUUUCGGGUGUCGCUGAUGGAUGGACCCGCGGUGCAUUAGCUAGUUGGUGAGGUAACGGCUCACCAAGGCCACGAUGCAUAGCCGACCUGAGAGGGUGAUCGGCCACAUUGGGACUGAGACACGGCCCAAACUCCUACGGGAGGCAGCAGUAGGGAAUCUUCGGCAAUGGACGAAAGUCUGACCGAGCAACGCCGCGUGAGUGAAGAAGGUUUUCGGAUCGUAAAACUCUGUUGUUAGAGAAGAACAAGGAUGAGAGUAACUGUUCAUCCCUUGACGGUAUCUAACCAGAAAGCCACGGCUAACUACGUGCCAGCAGCCGCGGUAAUACGUAGGUGGCAAGCGUUGUCCGGAUUUAUUGGGCGUAAAGCGAGCGCAGGCGGUUUCUUAAGUCUGAUGUGAAAGCCCCCGGCUCAACCGGGGAGGGUCAUUGGAAACUGGGAGACUUGAGUGCAGAAGAGGAGAGUGGAAUUCCAUGUGUAGCGGUGAAAUGCGUAGAUAUAUGGAGGAACACCAGUGGCGAAGGCGGCUCUCUGGUCUGUAACUGACGCUGAGGCUCGAAAGCGUGNGGAGCAAACAGGAUUAGAUACCCUGGUAGUCCACGCCGUAAACNAUGAGUGCUAAGUGUUGGAGGGUUUCCGCCCUUCAGUGCUGCAGCUAACGC